CCCCACACCUAACCUUUUGCUUGUCCUCAAGCAAAUAAACAUAGUCAAAUAAGCUUUCUUUGCUACUUGAUCCUUAUUUCCACUUAAGCUCUUACUCUAGACCCUUAUUUUGAAGCAUUGCAGUGAAGAAUAUAUGCAUGAAGAUUACUUACCUCCUUUCCUUGUUUCCCUUUGCUUACCAUGGCUAGGAUUUAUUUUCCUCAAGAGAGACCAUACAUGCACAUUAUUUGUUAAGACUUUUUCUAGCUUUCAGAGUGACUUGCCCUUACCUUGAAGUACUUUAUUCAGGCUUUUGCACUUUAGAUCUUGGAAAGGUCACCAACCUAUUUUUGAUUGAAGGUUUAUAUUUUUCAGUUGGUCACCUAUCCAAGUGGCUACUAGCUCUGUUCAUAGUCUUUUGACCAUUGGAACAAUUUNN
rnacentral:lncRNA from 1 species